GCACUGCUGAGAAGUGCCAUAAUAGGACGAAACGGCCGUCCAGUGC
rfam:Schistosoma mansoni strain Puerto Rico chromosome 2, complete genome